AUUGAACGCUGGCGGCAUGCCUUACACAUGCAAGUCGAACGGCAGCACGGGUGCUUGCACCUGGUGGCGAGUGGCGAACGGGUGAGUAAUACAUCGGAACAUGUCCUGUGGUGGGGGAUAGCCCGGCGAAAGCCGGAUUAAUACCGCAUACGAUCUACGGAUGACAGCGGGGGACCUUCGGGCCUCGCGCUAUAGGGUUGGCCGAUGGCUGAUUAGCUAGUUGGUGGGGUAAAGGCCUACCAAGGCGACGAUCAGUAGCUGGUCUGAGAGGACGACCAGCCACACUGGGACUGAGACACGGCCCAGACUCCUACGGGAGGCAGCAAUGGGGAAUUUUGGACAAUGGGCGAAAGCCUGAUCCAGCAAUCCCGCGUGUGUGAAGAAGGCCUUCGGGUUGUAAAGCACUUUUGUCCGGAAAGAAAUCCUUGGCCCUAAUACGGUCGGGGGAUGACGGUACCGGAAGAAUAAGCACCGGCUAACUACGUG
rnacentral:rRNA from 1 species